rnacentral:tRNA from 1 species
GCCCGGUUAGCUCAGUCGGUAAAGCACCAGACUCUUAAUCCGGUUGUCGCGGGUUCGAGUCCCGCAUUGAUUU